CACCGAAUUGGGUCACCGAGCCGAUCGCCCUUCGAUUCUGAGUCGACAUUCCCAACUCGGAAACAAACAUUCGUGAGUUGGGGGAUCGAAGAUUUGAUGGUGAGCAUGACAUGAUCCGGUGUUCUAAUUCAUGCCGUGCCACCGCUUUUGCUUCUCCGGCUUCAAGCAUUUCAUCCCUCGGCAGGUUGAAACCCUCAUCCAGAUUGCGAAGGCGAGGGUACGAGCGUGCGAUGUGGCAUUGCUGAGGUUUCCACAGAGCGAAUUCGCGAUUUGUGGCUGAGGAUGAGAGGUUUGAAGACUGGGCGAUGGUGUUGUAUGCGGUGAUUGAUGUUGAGAUUAGGGUUUCAUUGACCGUUUGAUUGAGGUGGUGCCUGUAGCCAUGGUGUUUGGGUUCUCAUGGGGCGAAGUAGCGCUCAUUCUCGGUGCCAGUGCAGCGCUGUUCGGGCCUAAGGAUAUUGUUAUAAUUGGAAGAGCAGCAGGGCGGUUGACAGGGAAAGCUGUUGGUUACAUCCAAAAUGCCCGUGGUCACAUCGCCCCCAUUAUGCACAAAUCGGAGAUCAAUACAGUUCAUAAAGAGUUGCGUGAGACAAUGGCACAGCUCGAAGCCAUUCGUCAUGAGAUGAGGACAGGCAUCUCUAUAAUGAGUCCCGGUCCCAUGACUAGCCGAGUGCUGGAUAGUGCUCUAGAAUCAUCCGGAAAGGAGCACAGACCCAGUUUGGACCAACUUGCAUCAGUUACUCAUCCCAUUUCUGGACCUACUAGGCAGGUUUCUCCCACUCAGAUUGUCCUUCAGAUGGAAAACUUGCAAGCAGCUUCUAAACAAGAUAGGUCAACAGGAAUCGUCACUCCUGCUUCAACUGUUUCGGCUUUCUCUUCUACUAAAGGAACCCCAGUCAAUCUUGCAUCCAGUAUUCAAGCGCCAUCCAAGCUCUCAGAUGGCAUAGUUGGGAAGACAUCAGUUCAAGAGCUCGUGGUUUUGCCCAUCUCAGCAGUCGAAGCAGGGCUUCUGCCUUCCAAACAAGAGCCAAUAUCUGGAGGUGCAGAUAUAGUGCUGGCAUCAAUUGUGGAGAGGAAAGUGGCUUUUCAGUCCAAAUCGUUUCUCGAGCACGGUGAAAUAUAGUUAUCUAAAAGCUUCUGGAGUUUGCAACCUUCAUUGGUAGUGGAUCUAAUCCAGGUUAUCGUUUUAGUCUCCUUUUUGUAUCAUAUCCUCUGCACCAGCCUUCACAGCUGCUGAAGCUGACGAGGAACGUCAAGUUUGUAUCAAAUCUUUAAUGAAGCAUCUGACAGAAGCAACGUGCGCCUCAAGCCGAAGCAUGUCUAGGAGGAUGUUGCUGUGGAACGUUUUCAAAGUUGAUUCGAGCGCUGCAAUUGUAACUACGCUCCGGCACUCACCAAAUUCCGUCUGCUAGAUUGUAAGUUAAAAAUUUUAUCUAAUCGCAUUAGAUUGGAAAAAGAAUUUAAAAAAAAAAAAAAAAAAAAAAAAAAAAAAAAAAAAUUAUUGAACUAGUUGAGCUUUAGGCUGCAUUUUAAGAAUACAAGGUGCUCUUUGUGAUAAUUGUGUCUCUGGCACUUGAAAACGACAAUCACUUGACUUUUAGAGAAAUAUAACAGUUUUGAAAAGGAUGUUUAAUGUGCUAAGGUUCUGAAUUUAGAGUCUGAAAUAUGAUAGAUCUACUCUUAAAAUAUCGACAAAUUCGUCCAAUCAUUUUAUGUGAAAUUAAAAAUAUGCAAUGAUUGCAUGUUUUUUUGUAACCCAAGUACAAUUAGUAGUAUAACCAUCUCACUUAUUACUAUUAUUUACAACAAUUU